GUCUACUGCCAUGCCACCCUGAACAUGCCUGAUCCUGUCUGACUGGGAAGCUAAGCAGGGUCAGGCCUGGUUAGUACUUGGAUGGGAGACCACCUAGGAAGACCAGGUGCUGUAGGCA
rnacentral:rRNA from 1 species